UUUUUUUUUUUUUUUUUUUUUUAGGGCCACACCUGCGGCACAUGGAAGUUGCCAGGCUAGGGGUCGAAUCAGAGCUGCAGCUGGAGCCUACACCACAGCUACAGAGACACAGGAUCCCAGCCGCAUCUGUGACCCAUGCUGAAGCUUACAGCUAUGCCAGACCCUUAAGGCAUUGAGCGAGGCCAGGAAUUGAACCCACAUCCUCUAGGUGGUUCAUAACCUGCUGAGUCACAACGGGAACUCCUCAAUCCACUGCUCUUUAGUGGACAAAACCCCUGCACUUGCUUCUGAGCAGAGAAAGAGACCAGACUCUCCUGAAGCUCUAAUGUGCUCUCUCUUCCCAGUUUCCUGGCAGAUUGGCAGGAAUAGAAAAGGUUUUAUAAUAGGUUCCUCUUAUGUAGGAAAAACCACCCGAAUAUUUUUAAGUUGUUGACAAAAACUAAAAGAAAAAAAAAUUUUAACUAAGCUGAAACCUGUUAAGAGAAUUUUGGUGAGGUCGGGGUGAAUAUAAUUACUGUGACGUCACAGGGAAAGUUUUCAUAGGAACUGAAGCUGCCACCACACUCAGGCCAUGGUACCCCAAGUUAGUUCCUACCCUGAUAAAAGGCAUAUCACAUGUUCCCACCAAUGGCAACAGCUCACUGUGGUAGUAGUGAUCCUUACAGGGCAGGGGUGAUAUAACAGGAUCCACUAAGAGCAUUAUAGAUGGACCCCAAAAUCAGGGUGAUUCUAAUAUGUACACCUCUAAGGAUUUAACUUGUGGUUUCCAAAAAGUACUAUUAAAAUCUUUGAUCGGAAAGGAAAUUUAUAAAUACGUAUAAUGGGAUUUGUUUAAUGCUCUUUGAUUCAAUAAAAACUUAAGCCCUUAAGUGUCAAUUACUAUGUUAGUAGCUGUGAGGAAGACAGAGUCCAUGCUCUUAUCACGUGAUGGCCUAGAAAAGAGGUGUAAAUGAAGUAAUUGAACCAAUAAAUGUUAAAAGGUGAUAAAUGGAAUGAAAAAGAAAAACAGGGGUGUUCCUGUGGCUCAGCAGGUUAAGGAUCAGGUGUUGUCACUGCAGUGGCUAGGGUUCAAUCCCCGGCCCAGGAACUUCCACGUGCCACAGAUGUGGCAAAGGAGGAGAAGGGGGAGGAGGGGAAGAAGGAGGAGGAGGGGGAGGAAGAGGAGGAGGAGAAAAACAGGAGGGGGAGGAGGAGAAAAAGAGAGGAGAGGGAAGAGGAGAAGAAGGGGAGGAAGAGAGAGAGCAACUGACAAAAAAAAAAAAAAAGCUAGCUGGAAGGUAGGAAAGAACUUGCCUUGAACUUGAGCUCUGGAGGAUGUAUCGGUGGUGUGAACUGGGCAAGGAGGAGGGUGGAGAGCCCUGGGAAGAUAGGGCCAGGGUGGAUCAGCAAGGAAUUGGUGGGAGUAGGAAGGUGGGAGAGCAGAGUGGACUGGGGACAUUAAAUAAAAAAAUUCUCAGGCAUGUACACACCCUGAGCAGGUGGGGACCGUGGAGGGGAGGGAACCCUGCUGGAGGCAGAUGAGACAAUGCAAUUGGUCUCCACAUACCUAUCCUUCCCCAUUGGCCCAUCCACGCUCAUUAUGGACUCCUGCCCCCUCUGCUCCACCAGUGCUUGGUCAAGGAUGGGCAGGCUGUCAUGACACAGCUGUCGUACCUUUAGCCAAUCUGUCUUUGAGGAAAUUUCACAUUAUACGUCCCAUCACCCCAGUGCAGAAAUCAGGUUGCAAAUCUCCUGCUUCCCUUGCGACUAGGACAAGGGGUAUGAUUUGGGCUUUGCCAGCCAGAUGUGCCCCAUGAGACUGAAUCCAGUUGUGAACCUCAGUUCUGUGGAUGUGACCAGUGGCUCAAGUGACCAGCUUUGGGAUGGCAGUUGCAGGCUUGAGCUCCUGAUGGAGAAACCGCACGGAUGCUG
ensembl:lncRNA